UAAGCGUUUGGAUGGAACUUGUUAUGCAAAGUACUGGUAGCCAAGCUUUGUUAAUUCUCAGAAUCUCUUCUUUCUUGUUGAAGUUGUCUUGGGGUUUCUGAAUUUCUAUGGCCUCCCUGUGCACUGACAUAGUAACCAUCCAAAUUGUCCAGAAUUUCAGUGUUUUCAAAUAAAAUGUUAUGUC